rnacentral:lncRNA from 1 species
ACCAAAACUUAAAGAACGAUCUAAAGUUUGAUUCAAACCCAGGAUUGCCUGACUCCCUAACAUGAAUCACACUACACUGCUUCUGUCUGCGGGAGUGUCUCACAGGAGAUUUAGCAAACGCCCACGACAUGGAUUCUGUGUUAAACUCCUCUUUCCCAAGGCUUCAGUUCUUUCUGGCUGAGCACGAGCAAGGUCUGCAGCUAUGCAGAAGCAUCUUGGUGAAGGGAGGCAGGACCCCUGCUGAGCAAUCAUGCAUCCACCACAAAAGUGCUGGUGGCGCCAGCUUAGUAAACUUAGAGUGCCCCGGUAGAGAAGGAGAGGGGAUCUGAAAAGGGCAAUUUUUUAAAGGACACAGAGCACUCUGAGGACCAGUCUGGGUUUGGAGACCCUGAAUGUACAGGGGCAGCAAUAAGUAGUGGAGUGACAUACCAAAGUAAGAGACA